rnacentral:rRNA from 2 species
UUAAGUUAUUAAGGGCGCACGGUGGAUGCCUUGGCACUAGAAGCCGAUGAAGGACGUUACUAACGACGAUAUGCUUUGGGGAGCUGUAAGUAAGCUUUGAUCCAGAGAUUUCCGAAUGGGGAAACCCAGCAUGAGUUAUGUCAUGUUAUCGAUAUGUGAAUACAUAGCAUAUCAGAAGGCACACCCGGAGAACUGAAACAUCUUAGUACCCGGAGGAAGAGAAAGAAAAUUCGAUUCCCUUAGUAGCGGCGAGCGAAACGGGAAGAGCCCAAACCAACAAGCUUGCUUGUUGGGGUUGUAGGACACUCUAUACGGAGUUACAAAGGACGACAUUAGACGAAUCAUCUGGAAAGAUGAAUCAAAGAAGGUAAUAAUCCUGUAGUCGAAAAUGUUGUCUCUCUUGAGUGGAUCCUGAGUACGACGGAGCACGUGAAAUUCCGUCGGAAUCUGGGAGGACCAUCUCCUAAGGCUAAAUACUCUCUAGUGACCGAUAGUGAACCAGUACCGUGAGGGAAAGGUGAAAAGCACCCCGGAAGGGGAGUGAAAUAGAACCUGAAACCGUGUGCUUACAAGUAGUCAGAGCCCGUUAAUGGGUGAUGGCGUGCCUUUUGUAGAAUGAACCGGCGAGUUACGAUUUGAUGCAAGGUUAAGCAGUAAAUGUGGAGCCGUAGCGAAAGCGAGUCUGAAUAGGGCGUUUAGUAUUUGGUCGUAGACCCGAAACCAGGUGAUCUACCCUUGGUCAGGUUGAAGUUCAGGUAACACUGAAUGGAGGACCGAACCGACUUACGUUGAAAAGUGAGCGGAUGAACUGAGGGUAGCGGAGAAAUUCCAAUCGAACCUGGAGAUAGCUGGUUCUCUCCGAAAUAGCUUUAGGGCUAGCCUCAAGUGAUGAUUAUUGGAGGUAGAGCACUGUUUGGACGAGGGGCCCCUCUCGGGUUACCGAAUUCAGACAAACUCCGAAUGCCAAUUAAUUUAACUUGGGAGUCAGAACAUGGGUGAUAAGGUCCGUGUUCGAAAGGGAAACAGCCCAGACCACCAGCUAAGGUCCCAAAAUAUAUGUUAAGUGGAAAAGGAUGUGGCGUUGCCCAGACAACUAGGAUGUUGGCUUAGAAGCAGCCAUCAUUUAAAGAGUGCGUAAUAGCUCACUAGUCGAGUGACACUGCGCCGAAAAUGUACCGGGGCUAAACAUAUUACCGAAGCUGUGGAUUGUCCUUUGGACAAUGGUAGGAGAGCGUUCUAAGGGCGUUGAAGCAUGAUCGUAAGGACAUGUGGAGCGCUUAGAAGUGAGAAUGCCGGUGUGAGUAGCGAAAGACGGGUGAGAAUCCCGUCCACCGAUUGACUAAGGUUUCCAGAGGAAGGCUCGUCCGCUCUGGGUUAGUCGGGUCCUAAGCUGAGGCCGACAGGCGUAGGCGAUGGAUAACAGGUUGAUAUUCCUGUACCACCUAUAAUCGUUUUAAUCGAUGGGGGGACGCAGUAGGAUAGGCGAAGCGUGCGAUUGGAUUGCACGUCUAAGCAGUAAGGCUGAGUAUUAGGCAAAUCCGGUACUCGUUAAGGCUGAGCUGUGAUGGGGAGAAGACAUUGUGUCUUCGAGUCGUUGAUUUCACACUGCCGAGAAAAGCCUCUAGAUAGAAAAUAGGUGCCCGUACCGCAAACCGACACAGGUAGUCAAGAUGAGAAUUCUAAGGUGAGCGAGCGAACUCUCGUUAAGGAACUCGGCAAAAUGACCCCGUAACUUCGGGAGAAGGGGUGCUCUUUAGGGUUAACGCCCAGAAGAGCCGCAGUGAAUAGGCCCAAGCGACUGUUUAUCAAAAACACAGGUCUCUGCUAAACCGUAAGGUGAUGUAUAGGGGCUGACGCCUGCCCGGUGCUGGAAGGUUAAGAGGAGUGGUUAGCUUCUGCGAAGCUACGAAUCGAAGCCCCAGUAAACGGCGGCCGUAACUAUAACGGUCCUAAGGUAGCGAAAUUCCUUGUCGGGUAAGUUCCGACCCGCACGAAAGGCGUAACGAUUUGGGCACUGUCUCAACGAGAGACUCGGUGAAAUCAUAGUACCUGUGAAGAUGCAGGUUACCCGCGACAGGACGGAAAGACCCCGUGGAGCUUUACUGUAGCCUGAUAUUGAAAUUCGGCACAGCUUGUACAGGAUAGGUAGGAGCCUUUGAAACGUGAGCGCUAGCUUACGUGGAGGCGCUGGUGGGAUACUACCCUAGCUGUGUUGGCUUUCUAACCCGCACCACUUAUCGUGGUGGGAGACAGUGUCAGGCGGGCAGUUUGACUGGGGCGGUCGCCUCCUAAAAGGUAACGGAGGCGCUCAAAGGUUCCCUCAGAAUGGUUGGAAAUCAUUCAUAGAGUGUAAAGGCAUAAGGGAGCUUGACUGCGAGACCUACAAGUCGAGCAGGGUCGAAAGACGGACUUAGUGAUCCGGUGGUUCCGCAUGGAAGGGCCAUCGCUCAACGGAUAAAAGCUACCCCGGGGAUAACAGGCUUAUCUCCCCCAAGAGUUCACAUCGACGGGGAGGUUUGGCACCUCGAUGUCGGCUCAUCGCAUCCUGGGGCUGUAGUCGGUCCCAAGGGUUGGGCUGUUCGCCCAUUAAAGCGGUACGCGAGCUGGGUUCAGAACGUCGUGAGACAGUUCGGUCCCUAUCCGUCGUGGGCGUAGGAAAUUUGAGAGGAGCUGUCCUUAGUACGAGAGGACCGGGAUGGACAUACCUCUGGUGUACCAGUUGUCGUGCCAACGGCAUAGCUGGGUAGCUAUGUGUGGACGGGAUAAGUGCUGAAAGCAUCUAAGCAUGAAGCCCCCCUCAAGAUGAGAUUUCCCAACUUCGGUUAUAAGAUCCCUCAAAGAUGAUGAGGUUAAUAGGUUCGAG